UACGUAGGGUGCAAGCGUUGUCCGGAAUUAUUGGGCGUAAAGAGCGUGUAGGCGGCUCGAUCAGUCCGCUGUAAAAGUCCAGGGCUCAACCCUGGGAUGCCGGUGGAUACUGUCGGGCUAGAGUCCGGAAGAGGCGAGUGGAAUUCCUGGUGUAGCGGUGAAAUGCGCAGAUAUCAGGAGGAACACCAAUGGCGAAGGCAGCUCGCUGGGACGGUACUGACGCUGAGACGCGAAAGCGUGGGGAGCAAACAGG
rnacentral:rRNA from 1 species